rnacentral:tRNA from 1 species
CUUCGCCUGGAAGGGCGAGACGCUCGAGGAGUACUGGUGGUGCACCGAGCAGAUCUUCGACUGGUCGGGCGAGGC